rnacentral:rRNA from 1 species
GAUGAACGCUGGCGGCGUGCCUAAUACAUGCAAGUCGAGCGAACAGACGAGGAGCUUGCUCCUCUGACGUUAGCGGCGGACGGGUGAGUAACACGUGGAUAACCUACCUCUAAGACUGGGAUAACUUCGGGAAACCGGAGCUAAUACCGGAUAAUAUAUUGAACCGCAUGGUUCAAUAGUGAAAGACGGUUUUGCUGUCACUUCUAGAUGUAUCCGCGCCGCAUUAGCUAGUUGGUAAGGUAACGGCUUACCAAGGCAACGAUGCGUAGCCGACCUGAGAGGGUGAUCGGCCACUCUGGAACUGAGACACGGUCCAGACUCCUACGGGAGGCAGCAGUAGGGAAUCGUCCGCAAUGGGCGAAAGCCUGACGGAGCAACGCCGCGUGGGUGAUGAAGGUCUUCGGAUCGUAAGACUCUGUUAGUAGUGAAGAACAAAUGUGUAAGUAACUAUGCACGUCUUGACGGUACCUAAUCAGAAAGCCACGGCUAACUACGUG